CCGGAGGGAAGCCGGGGAGGGAGCCUUCAGGAAGUGGGGGUAGGGUAUGAGUAGGGAGUGGAGGUCCUGUUUGCUCCGCGACCGGCCCCCUCUCCGGGUUCUUCGUGUGGUCACCCUCGAGGAAGCCUCUGGGAAAACGCCUUGGUUCCAAGGAGCGAAUCCAGUGAAUGGCAGACAGCAAGUCCUCUGGGUGACCAUGCAGGUGGACCUCUCCUUUCUUUUCAUCUGGGACUCAUGGUAGAUCGAACGCAGAACCCUCCGAGCAGAAAGAGACCAGGGGUGGCUGCCUGUUCCAGGAGAGAUUGGGGCCCAGGGCCUUUGUCAAAGGCUCUGCUCAUGCCCCUUGUACUCUUCUACCUUGAGGAUGAGGGAACUGAGGCACAGAGGAGUGACGUGAUCUUCCCAGAGCUGCACAGUCAGAGAGUGGUAGAGCCAGGCUCUGA